rnacentral:rRNA from 1 species
GACGAACGCUGGCGGCGUGCCUAAUACAUGCAAGUCGAGCGAAGUUUUUCUGGUUCUUGCACUAGAAAAACUUAGCGGCGAACGGGUGAGUAACACGUAAAGAACCUGCCUCAUAGACUGGGACAACUAUUGGAAACGAUAGCUAAUACCGGAUAACAGUAUUUCUCGCAUGAGAGAUAUUUAAAAGUUGGUUAUGCUAAUACUAUGAGAUGGCUUUGCGGUGCAUUAGCUAGUUGGUGGGGUAAAGGCCCACCAAGGCGACGAUGCAUAGCCGACCUGAGAGGGUGAUCGGCCACACUGGGACUGAGACACGGCCCAGACUCCUACGGGAGGCAGCAGUAGGGAAUCUUCCGCAAUGGGCGAAAGCCUGACGGAGCAACGCCGCGUGAGUGAAGAAGGAUUUCGGUUCGUAAAGCUCUGUUGUUAGGGAAGAAUGGAUAUGUAGUAACUAUACAUGUAAGAGACGGUACCUAACCAGAAAGCCACGGCUAACUACGUG